rnacentral:rRNA from 1 species
AGAAUCAACGCUGGCGGCGUGCCUAACACAUGCAAGUCGAACGCGAAAGGGGAGCAAUCCCUGAGUAGAGUGGCAAACGGGUGAGUAACACGUGGGUGACCUGCCUCAGAGUGGGGGAUAACGUCCCGAAAGGGACGCUAAUACCGCAUAACAUCCUGCCUUUGGAAAGGCGGAGAUCAAAGCCGGGGAUCGCAAGACCUGGCGCUUGGAGAGGGGCCCGCGUCUGAUUAGCUAGUUGGUAGGUAAUGGCCUACAAGGCAACGAUCAGUAUCCGGCCUGAGGCGGGCGACGGACACGACUGGGACUGGAGACGACGGCCAGACCUCCGACGGGAGCAGCAGGUGGGAAUUGUACGCAAGUCGGGCGACAAGCCCUGACGACGCGAACGCCGCGUGGAGAUGAAGUAUUUGGAUACGUAAACUCUAGUCGAAGCGGAACAACGUCCUAAC